rnacentral:tRNA from 2 species
GGAGGCGCUUCCGGCCUGGUGACCGGCACGGUCUUCAAAACCGUUGAACGGCGGACACCGUCGUUGGCGGGUUCGAUUCCCGUUCGCCUCCGCCG